rnacentral:rRNA from 1 species
UACGAAGGGGGCUAGCGUUGCUCGGAAUCACUGGGCGUAAAGCGCACGUAGGCGGCUUUUUAAGUCAGAGGUGAAAUCCUGGAGCUCAACUCCAGAACUGCCUUUGAUACUGGAGAGCUUGAGUCCGGGAGAGGAGAGUGGAACUGCGAGUGUAGAGGUGAAAUUCGUAGAUAUUCGCAAGAACACCAGUGGCGAAGGCGGCUCACUGGCCCGGUACUGACGCUGAGGUGCGAAAGCGUGGGGAGCAAACAGG